rnacentral:rRNA from 1 species
UACGUAGGGGGCGAGCGUUGUCCGGAUUUAUUGGGCGUAAAGAGCGUGUAGGCGGCCAAGCAGGUCCGCUGUGAAAACUCGAGGCUCAACCUCGAGACGUCGGUGGAAACCGUUUGGCUAGAGUCCGGAAGAGGAGAGUGGAAUUCCCGGUGUAGCGGUGAAAUGCGCAGAUAUCGGGAAGAACACCCGUGGCGAAGGCGGCUCUCUGGGACGGUACUGACGCUGAGACGCGAAAGCGUGGGGAGCAAACAGG